rnacentral:rRNA from 1 species
ACGUAUCACCCAAGACAACUUUACGGAGUUGACGAUUGACGGAGCGAAGCGACGUCAAAGCGUUCAUUAAAGUCGAGUUGGCUUAGGGAUACGUUCGUUGGGUAGGGGAGCGUUCUGUAAGCCUGUGAAGGUGUGUCGUGAGGCAUGCUGGAGGUAUCAGAAGUGCGAAUGCUGACAUAAGUAACGAUAAAGCGGGUGAAAAGCCCGCUCGCCGGAAGACCAAGGGUUC